AAUCGGAGUGUUGUGUGCCCUUGAACCGGAAGUUGUCAUAUUUCGUUAAUCUUAAGAUAGUUGACUAAAAAGGCAGGCCGUUUGAUGUUAUGUUUAAAAAAGCAACAAAAGAUUAUUUCCAAAAUCAUUUGUUGGAGGCACCGAAGCUCUGAUAUUCUGGUUGUCAAUAGUUACGAUGGUGAUGAAUUUUGGCUUCGCUAUGUGGAAGUUAGGGGACCCUGACUUUUCCAACCCCUUCUACGGAUACUCCUUUGGAAUGCCCCUCACCCAGGGGGUACUCUUCAUCCUCAUCUUCGUCGUUUACGGUGUCUACAGAUGCAGGGAACCAAAAAACAAGGCCUAUAGAUUAGGGCGACAGUGUACACAUAAGAUAUCAGUAGAUAGAUUUGAGUUUCGUUUUCUGCGCAAGAACUUGUCCUGUUGUAUACAAUUUAAUGUUGCUAUCCAAGAAUUUUAGAGGAAUGAUUAAUAGCAUCACAGAAAGACGGUAAAUGGAGCAUCAAUAACAUUAGCAUAAUUUAUCCUCGGUCUGUGCAUUUAAACAAGUAGUAUUUUGAUAUCAAACCUUAUAUCUUCUAUAUUCCAUAUCUCAAUUGUUGUAACAAAAUACUGGAGAUUUAUUUUGAAUGAAAUUUUUGGUUUGAUUACGUUUGUAUGUCUAAAAAAAUCAAACGGAUGCAGAAGGAGUUGUUGUUUGUUUUUAUUUGUUUAUUAUAUCAAAUGUACAUACUUAGUCAUAUCAGUAUAUAUCAUACACUGUAAUAUCUCAACAUCCUUAUCAGCAUCCGUGUACUACUUAGCGGCAAGUCAAAAUAAAUAUAAUCAAACAC